UCCGUUCGGCGGAAGCGUCGUU
rnacentral:snRNA from 1 species